rnacentral:rRNA from 1 species
UACGUAGGUGGCAAGCGUUAUCCGGAAUUAUUGGGCGUAAAGAGCGCGCAGGUGGUUAAUUAAGUCUGAUGUGAAAGCCCACGGCUUAACCGUGGAGGGUCAUUGGAAACUGGUUGACUUGAGUGCAGAAGAGGGAAGUGGAAUUCCAUGUGUAGCGGUGAAAUGCGUAGAGAUAAGGAGGAACACCAGUGGCGAAGGCGGCUUCCUGGUCUGCAACUGACACUGAGGCGCGAAAGCGUGGGGAGCAAACAGG